GCCGCUCCGCGGCAUGUGGGAUCUUCCCGGACCGGGGCACGAACCCGUGUCUCCUGCAUCGGUAGGCAGACUCUCAACCACUGCGCCACCAGGGAAGCCCUGUAACCUCCUAACACGCAGGCUACACACUUCUGGUUGUGCUUGUGUAUUCCUAAUAUCAGCUGACAUUUCCCAGCCCCUGGAAUCUACAUGAGAUUGCCUCAAGCCCCAUCCCAAACACUGGAGAUAACCAAGGCCUCCACAAAAGUUCUGUGAAUUUGAGGUUGACAGAAGAUCCUGAUCUACUUAGAAAAAUCACUGCUGUUAUAAGAACAUGCUGCCUCAAGCCUAGUGAUCUGUGGCUGUAGAAGCUGCUUUUGGAAGCUCGUAGCUGUAAUCGGAGAGCAGCAGAUGCCUGCGUCUGCCAGGAGCCGCAGGACCACAGCAGCAGAAGCUGGUGCCCUCUGCUUGUUUGUGUUCAUGCUCUGCUUGGGCUACUGUUGUCUUUGGAAGGAGUGACAUUAAUGCAGGGAAAUCAAUCCAUUUUGUGUGACACUAAAUAUUUUCAUUUGCUGUGUAAUCAUGUAUAUAGUCCCUAUUCCUGAUGAAUCCUGAAGUAGGCUCAGGAGGGUGUCCAGGUUUAUUGUAGAGAAGGAAGACAUAGCAAUGUCAGUCUUACAAAAGGCAAGUAAAAAGAAGCAAGUUUAUGGAUGUUAAUUAACUCUUCAUAAUGAUCUGUAAUUUCCUUAGUUUAUUUUUCAUAUACCUCGCUUUCAGUUUGGUGCAUAAUUUAGCCAUAAUUCAUAUGGCUAACACAUGGAUCCAAACCAAAAUAUGUACAAUCCAUAAUACAUACAUCCAAAAAUAUAAAAGAUACUGUUACUUCUGUUUCCACUUAAUGCUUCAUGACUGGUUGACUCUCAAUUUUCCUACAGAUAUUAGUAAUGGGGUUGUAGACUAAAUAUUUAUGUGUAAUCUCCUCUAAAAUUUUUAGGAAAAAAUAUGAGUCUCAAGGAAAAAUAAAUUGUAAACACUUCCUGAAUGGAUUUAGUAGACAGAAAAAAAAAUGCUAGGAAAAAAUGGUUAAGAAUUAAUUAUCUCUGUAUAUGAUUGACAUUUAAUAAGAAAGAGUUCUCAAAGAACUGCUAACCCAGCAAGAAUUACAUGAAAACAGAAGUGCAAUUCUUAAUGGAAAUUUAUUCCAGCUAUUCACUACCUUAGUGAUUAAUGUGAAAUCUUUCCAUCUACUUAUUGUGUCAAUUUAAUAAAACUUUUAAAAGAAUUUGAUAAAAAUUAACAAAAUGGUCAUCUCUCUAAUUUUGCAGAAAUUCCUCAUGUCCACACAUCUAGUCCUAUAGGGUUGUUUUCUUAAAUGUGGAGGAGACACAGGAAAAGAGGCCAUAUGACUAGGUAUGCUAUUAUGUUAUUUACAACAGCAAAU